UUAACAUUCAGUUUGCUCCAAACUGUUAUUUUAUUAAUAUUGCUAUGGUCACUGUAGUUAGACACCUUAUGCUAGACAUUCAGUUUUAAUCCAAACUGGUUUUCUGGAUAUUGCAAUGGUCACUUUAAUUAAACCUUAUUACUUGACUUUCAGUUUGCUCCAACUGUUUUUAUUAAUAUUGCUAUGGUCACUUUAGUUAGAUUUUUAAUGCUAGACAUUCAG